CACACAGGUGCUGCAUGGCUGUCGUCAGCUCGUGUCGUGAGAUGUGGGUUAAGUCCCGCAACGAGCGCAACCCUUGCCAUUAGUUGCUACGAAAGGGCACUCUAAUGGGACUGCCGGUGACAAACCGGAGGAAGUGGGGAUGACGUCAAGUCCUCAUGGCCCUUAUAGGUGGGGCUACACACGUCAUACAAUGGCCGGUACAGAGGGUAGCCAACCCGCGAGGGGGAGCCAAUCCCACAAAGCCGGUCGUAGUCCGGAUCGCAGUCUGCAACUCGACUGCGUGAAGUCGGAAUCGCUAGUAAUCGCGGAUCAGCAUGUCGCGGUGAAUACGUUCCCGGGUCCUU
rnacentral:rRNA from 1 species